CAAUCGUCUUACUUGUUUAUUCCUUUUCCCACUCCUGUGAAGCUUGAACAUACAUAACACUUCAAGAAACACCAUAAAGGAAGAUGAACUAGGAAAAAGGCUUUCCCCAAAAAGUACAUUAAUUCAAAAUGGCAAUCUGUUGGGUGCUCUACAAAAAUAAACUGUAAGGCUAGUCAAAACUCAGAAUUCCUACUUAUAGUGAAGCUGGGAAAACUACAUCUACCCUGUGCACCAAAAGUACAAUAUUAUCUGUCAUGUGAAAUUCAUCCAACGUGGCUGACAGCUUCUAUACUGGCCAGGCAGGAGACUACUUCUGUGAUAUCUGGCCUCCUGACUUGAUUGUUAUCAACACAUUUGCAAGCAGUUUCAAACACCUUCAGCAUUUGCUCUUCAUACCCUGCUCCUUGAAGUGUUGGAUCAAAUACCUCAGUCUGCUUACCCUCAGACCUCAUCUGUAGAACCCAUGGGACAAGUUCUUUUGAUGUAGACAGAACAGGAAUAGGUCGCCUUCCUGUGAGCAGCUCAAGGAGGACUACCCCAAAACUGUAUAUAUCACCUCUCAACGUAGCAACCCAUGCUUGCCCAUACUCGGGGGGAAUGUAACCCAUAGUGCCAACCAACUCAGUAGUAACAUGAGUUUUAUUGGGAAGGAUCAAUCUGGCUAGCCCAAAAUCUGCAACAUAAGCUUUGAAUUCUUUGUCCAGCAGGAUGUUACUGGAUUUGAUGUCACGGUGGACAAUUUGAGGUUUGCAGACAUCAUGGAUAUAUGAAAGGCCCAGGCUUGCUCCUUGUGCAAUCUUGAGCCGAGUUGGCCAGUGAAGAAAUGAGCUAGCGUCAUCAUCCCUGUUAUGAAGCCAAUCAUCCAGGCUGCCAUUCUCCAUGUAGGAAUAUAUGAGGAGCCUUGAGUUUCCAUGGACGCAGUAACCCCACAGAGGUACAAGAUUUUCAUGUUGUGCCAUGGAGAGUGCAUCAACCUCUGCACUGAACUCCCUUUCCAUCAGACACAUUUCACCGCUGAGCUUUUUGAUUGCCAGCUUGGUGCCAUCAGGUAGCUCUGCCUUGUAGACUAAUCCAUAACCUCCACAUCCGAUGAUGUUCUCCUUGUCAAAGUUGUUUGUAGCUUUCAGAAUAUCAGUGAAUUUGAGCAUGUUUUCUUCUUCCUUGCCUUGUGGCAUCCACAUAACCACCAAUGUUUGCUCUGAACUUGAGUGGAUUGAAGUUGCUUCAACAUCUCCGUUACUCCCCCUUCCAUUUUUUAUUGUCAAGCUCUUCAUCCUGAUUAACACAAGGAAACGUCCCAGCAACAGAAGAACAGCGAUGCCCCCAAAGAACACACCAAAUGUAAUUGGGAGAGUGUCCUUCUUAUCCCGAUGUUUUUUGGAGAUAAGAGGUGUUGGAGCUGAACCACAUUUGUGAGUUAGCAGAGAGCCACACAGCUUUGGAUUCCCAAUAUAACUAGAAUUCUGAAAUGUAUUAAACUGGCCUCCAGAUGGAAUAGGCCCUUCUAGGUCAUUGUUAGAAAUGUUGAAUGCUGAAAGGAAGUGCAGGCUGUUUAAUGCAGCUGGGAUUGCACCUGUGAGAUCAUUGUUGGACAAGUCGAGCACCUGCAGGUUUGUGAGAUUGCAUACUGUUUGUGGGAUCCAUCCUGUCAAGGCGUUGAAACUGAAAUUGAGAGAAAAGAGGGCUUUCAAGUGACCGAUCUCCAAGGGGAUCUCACCAGUGAAUGUAUUAUUGCUUAGAUCUAGCACUUUAGGGAAAGCAAUGGGUAUGCGGUAUUGAAGUGAUGGAUCUGUAUAAACAGGCAACUCAAAGACACUUGGGUCUAGCUGAGUUUCAGUCCCUGACAUUAGCAUUGGCAUAUUCAUCAGUGUUGUUGGAAUUCUCCCUGUGAGUCUGUUGUUUGAUAUAUCUAGGUAAAAGAGUUUGCUUAGGGUUUCAAUCCAAGCUGGUAUUGAUCCAUUGAGUUUGUUUUGAUGUAAGUCUAACAGCUCUAAAUUUGCAAGGCUCGAAAUCCAAACAGGUAUGUUUCCAGUCAAGUAACAUCCCGAGAUGCCCAAAACCCGAAGAUUCACAAAACCAUCAAUUUUGUCAUCCUCUGGCAUGAUCUCUUCCCUGAAGUUGACAGCCAUAAGCAGGGUGGUAAGGUUCCGGCAGUUCUUAAGGAUGUGAAGUGUAUUUGUGAUGUUAUUGAAAUGAUUGUUUGUAAUUGAGAUGAAGGUGAGGUACUUCAGCUUGCCCAUUCGUGGUGACAGCUGCCCACUGAAGUUGUUCUCAGCUAACCGUAGUGCAGUCAGAUUGAUGCAAGAGUAUAUGCUUUCUGGAACUGUGCCGGUGAAGUUGUUGAAGUAAACAUCUAAUGUCUUUAGAUUUGGCAGGUUGGAGAAAUUGACCUUGCCGAGCUGUCCACUGAAAUUGUUUUUCUUGAGAUCAAUUGCUACGAGAUUCGUGCAGUUGCUUAGAGCUGAUGGCAGCUCCCCUGACAAAUUGUUGUUGUCCAAAUGGAACUCCUCCAGUUUCUUGAGCUGGCCUAUGGAAUCUGGAAUCUUGCCACUGAAGUUGUUCCCUCCAAGAUCAAGUGCUACUAGAUUUCUGAGCUUGGUUAUGUGCACACCAUCAAGAACUCCAUUUAAAUGAUUAUUACGAAAAGACAGGUAUUCCAACAAAGUUGCAUUGAAGAGUUCAUCUGGGAUUUCUCCACUGAUGUUGUUGUACCCGGCCCUGAGCUCUCUCAGCUGGGAGCAAUGACCAAUUUGUUGGGGGAUUUUGCCACUCAAUUUGUUUAAACACAGGUCAAGCACAGCGAAGGACGGUGAGCUGAUACAAAAAUAAGUUGGUAUGUGCCCUGUAAAGCUGUUGUUACUGGCAUUGAGUGCUCUCAGAUUCUCCAUUGCUUCCCAUGUGGUGGAUGGAAACUGUCCAGCAAAUAAGUUGCUCGAGAUGUUGAGUACCUGGAGAGGCCGGGCAGGGGUUGGAGAUGCCAGCUUGUGGAGUGUUCCCUUGAGCUGGUUAAAGCUGACAUCAAGUAUGGUGAUGCUGCUGGACGACACCAAUUCCAACGGCAGACCACCGGACAGCAAGUUGUGAGAGAGGUUGAGGUACUGCAGCACGGGGAGGUUUCCAAGGGACCCCGAGAUGUGCCCCUCAAGGCCUUUUGAAGCCAGCAUGAUAUUGGUGAUCAUGCUAUCUUGCCUGCAGGUGAUCCCUCUCCACUUGCAGCAAUCGGUGCCAUCCUGCCAUAAGGUAGCGAGGCCGCCGUCACGCGAGAGCCCAGCAAGGAACCGGCGAAGGGAGGUCUUCUCAUGCUCCGUGCAGGAACUGGUCGGAGAGAUCAGUAGCACGAGAGCAAGGGCAAGGCAAGGUAUGUGCAAUUUCUUGCUCUGUGUCUUGUUUGCAAACUGGAGUGUCUGCAUGGUUUUCUGGUGAAACUAGGAUGAAAACCAGAGCUUAUGUUGUGCCCUGGCUGGAUAAGACAUCAAUGGUGCUCUAAUC
rnacentral:rRNA from 1 species